UAGGGAAUCUUCGGCAAUGGACGAAAGUCUGACCGAGCAACGCCGCGUGAGUGAAGAAGGUUUUCGGAUCGUAAAACUCUGUUGUUAGAGAAGAACAAGGACGUUAGUAACUGAACGUCCCCUGACGGUAUCUAACCAGAAAGCCACGGCUAACUACGUGCCAGCAGCCGCGGUAAUACGUAGGUGGCAAGCGUUGUCCGGAUUUUUUGGGCGUAAAGCGAGCGCAGGCGGUUUCUUAAGUCUGAUGUGAAAGUCCCCGGCUAAACCGGGGAGGGUCAUUGGAAACUGGGAGACUUGAGUGCAGAAGAGGAGAGGGGAAUUCCAUGUGUAGCGGUGAAAUGCGUAGAUAUAUGGAGGAACACCAGUGGCGAAGGCGGCUCUCUGGUCUGUAACUGACGCUGAGGCUCGAAAGCGUGGGGAGCAAACAGG
rnacentral:rRNA from 1 species